GACGAACGCUGGCGGCGUGCCUAAUACAUGCAAGUUGAACGCUAAAGCUUGGUUCUUGUACUGACUGGAUGAUCAUCGAACGGGUGAGUAACGCGUGGCGAAUCUGCCUUUUAGCGGGGGCCAACAUUUGGAAACGAAUGCUAAUACCUCAUAAACACUUUAACCACAAGUUUUAAGUUUUAAUGAUGCACUUGCCUCACUCAAAUAUGAUCCCGCUUUGUAUUAGCUAGUUGGUGAGGUAAAUGCUCACCAAGGCGAUGAUACAUAGCCGGCCUGAGAGGGGGGUCGGCCAAAGUGGGACUGGGACACGGACCAAACUCCUACGGGAGGCAGCAGGAGGGAAUCGUCGGCAAUGGACGAAAGGCGGACCGAGCAACGCCGCGUGAGUGAAGAAGGUUGUCGGAUCGUAAAACUCUGUUGGUAGAGAAGGACGUUGGUGAGAGUGGAAAGCUCAUCAAGUGACGGUAACUACCCAGAAAGGGACGGCUAACUACGUG
rnacentral:rRNA from 1 species